UUUUGAAACAGGAAGAAGCAUCGAUAAAAAGAUAAUUUGUAUUGUUUGCCAACCGCUAAAAAAGAAGCUGUUGUUUGCCGUGUCGAUAAGUAAAAAAAAAUAUCUUUGGUCUUUACCAACACUUAAAACGUUGACAACUUUAAGAAUGUGUCCGUCGCUUGUGUGCAUGUGCAUAAACAACAUACAAGCCUGAUGCAGAAGCAGUUCUCCCGGGUUAAGGGGUCCCUGCUGCAGUUUCACCAGUAAAGAAAAUUACUUGUUACAGUUCACUUGAAGGACCACAUUAGCCAUGCAGUGGUGCAUGGAGGAGCGCCAAGAGGACAUAAAGUGGAAGUUUGUAAGGGGUAUUGGUCCAGGGUGGUACAGAGUCAUCGUGGGUUAUUCUGUGGGGAGGUGACAGGGCCUGCCUUUCUCCAGAUGGACAGUAAAAAUCAACAGAAUGCCAUCAAAGACUACCUGGAGGGAGAAUCGGAGGAUAUAUUGAAGCAAGGAAUCUCUCUGUGUAGUCUGUGUAUGUAUGUGUGUGUACUGCAUGUCAAGAACUGUUUAUCUGAUCAUUCAGCUGUUCAGACUUUAUAAUAUUUGGAGCAUUUCUUUUGUUAAACACAACCAGUCAA
ensembl:lncRNA